AAGAGAGACAGACGGAAGAAGAAUCAAGCCAGGGGAAGGAUGUGAAGGACAGGAUGAGAUGAAGAAAUAUACUGGAGGGAAGCCUGUAAAAAGCUGGUGGUAGCUGGGGACUGUGGCAGCCAUGAUGGAUGUGAUGUCACAUCGCAACUCCCACCCAUCCUGACCUCCCAUGAUUCCUCAUCUGCUGCAGGCUCCAGGAGAAUGGGAUACUGGAAAAGAGCUGGGAUGCACAGUAGG